rnacentral:rRNA from 1 species
GACGAACGCUGGCGGCGCGCCUAACACAUGCAAGUCGAACGAGCGAGAGAGAGCUUGCUUUCUUGAGCGAGUGGCGAACGGGUGAGUAACGCGUGAGGAACCUGCCUCAAAGAGGGGGACAACAGUUGGAAACGACUGCUAAUACCGCAUAACGUGAGAAGAGGGCAUCCUCUUUUUACCAAAGAUUUAUCGCUGAGAGAUGGGCUCGCGGCCGAUUAGGUAGUUGGUGAGAUAACAGCCCACCAAGCCGACGAUCGGUAGCCGGACUGAGAGGUUGAUCGGCCACAUUGGGACUGAGACACGGCCCAG